rnacentral:rRNA from 1 species
GAUGAACGCUGGCGGCGUGCCUAAUACAUGCAAGUCGAGCGGACAGACCCUGAGCGUUACCCUCUGAGGUUAGCGGCGGGCGAGUGGUUAACACCUGGAUCACCUACUUGUGAUACUGGUAGAACUUCGGGGAACCUGCGCUAUUACCGACUAACAUGCUGAACGUCAGGGUUGAACGGUUAUAGACGUUGUUUGUGCUACUUAUAGAUGGAUCCGUUCGGCAUUAGCUAGUUGGCAAGGUAACGGCCUACCAAGGCAACGAGGCGUGGCCGACCUGAGAGGCGGAUCGCCCACACGGGAACUGAGCCACGGUCCAGACUACUACGGGAGGCAGCAGUAGGGAAUCGUACGCAAUGGGCGAAAGCCUGACGGAGCAACGCGGAGCGAGUGACGAAGGUCUUCGGAUCGUAAAACCCUGUUAUUAGGGAAGAACAACUGUCUGCGUAGACAAGGCGGUCUUGACGGUACCUAAAGAGAAAGCCCCGGCUAACUACGUG